rnacentral:rRNA from 1 species
UACGUAGGGCGCAAGCGUUGUCCGGAAUUAUUGGGCGUAAAGAGCUCGUAGGCGGCCUGUUACGUCUGCUGUGAAAUCCCGGGGCUUAACCCCGGGCGUGCAGUGGAUACGGGCAGGCUGGAGGCAGGCAGGGGAGAACGGAAUUCCCGGUGUAGCGGUGAAAUGCGCAGAUAUCGGGAGGAACACCGGUGGCGAAGGCGGCUCUCUGGGCCUGUACUGACGCUGAGGAGCGAAAGCGUGGGGAGCGAACAGG